rnacentral:lncRNA from 1 species
CGCUUGAUUAUAAAAACAUGAACUGUAUUCCCUGUUUCAACAGGUGGGCGCCUAAUAGCGAAAACUUGAACUGCAUUCCUUUGUUCUCUAGGUGGGCGCCUGAUUGCCGAAACUUGAACUGUAUUCCCUGUUUCUCCAGGUGGGCACCUAAUAGCGAAAACUUGAACUGCAUUCCUUUGUUCUCUAGGUGGGCGCUUGAUUGCCGAAACUUGAACUGUAUUCCUUUGUUCUCCAGGUGGGCGCCUGAUUGCCAAAACUUGAACUGUAUUCCCUGUUUCUCCAGGUGGGCGCCUGAUUGCCAAAACUUGAACUGUAUUCCCUUAUUUUCCAGAUGGGUGCCUGAUUGCCAAAACUGUAACUAUAUUCCCUUGUUCUCCAGGUGGGCGCCUGAUUGCCAAAACUUGAACCGUAUGCCCUUGUUCUCCAGGUGGGCACCUGAUUGCCCAAAUUUGAACUAUAUUCCCUUAUUCUCAGGUGGGUGCCUGAUUGCCAAAACUUGAAUUAUAUUCCCUUGUUUUCUAAGUCGGCGACUGAUUGCCAAAACUUGAACUGUAUUUCCUUAUUCUCCAAGUGGGCACCUGAUUGCCAAAACUUGAACUAUAUUCCCUUGUUCUCCAGGUGGGCGCCCAAUAUUGAAAACUUGAACUACAUUCCUUUGUUCUCUAGGUGGGUUCCUGAUUGCCGAAACUUGAACUGUAUUCCCUUAUUUUCCAGGCGGGCGUCUGAUUGCCAAAACUUGAACUGUAUUCCCUUGUUCUCUAGUUGGGCACCUGAUUGCCCAAACUUGAACUAUAUUCCCUUAUUCUCUAGGUGGACGCCUGAUUGCCAAAACAUGAAUUGUAUUCCCUUGUUCUCCAGAUGGGCGCCUGAUUGCCAAAACUUGAACUGUAUUCCCUGUUUCUCCAGGUGGGCGCCUAAUUGCGAAAACUUGAACUGCAUUCCUUUGUUCUCUAGGUGGGCUCCUGAUUGCCGAAACUUGAACUGUAUUCCCUUAUUCUCCAAGUGGGCGCCUGAUUGCCAAAACUUGAACUAUAUUCCCUUGUUCUCCAGGUGGGCGCCUGAUUGCCAAAACUUGAAUUGUAUGCCCUUGUUCUCCAGGUGGGCACCUUAUUGCCCAAGCUUGAACUGUAUUCCCUUGUUCUCAGGUGGGUGCCUGAUUGCCGAAACUUGAUUUGUAUUCCCUUGUUCUCCAGGUGGGCACCUGAUUGCCAAAUCUCUAAACUGUAUUCCAUAUUUCUCCAGGUGGGCACCUGAUUGCCGAAACUUUAACUAUAUUCCCUUGUUCUCCAGGUGGGCGCUUGAUUGCCAAAACUUGAAUUGUAUGCCCUUGUUCUCCAGGUGGGCGCCUGAUUGCCCAAACUUUAACUGUAUUCCCUUGUUCUCCAGGUGGGUGCCUGAUUGCCAAAACUUGAACUGUAUUCCCUUGUUCUCCAGGUGGGCGCCUGAUUGCCGAAACUUGAACUGUAUUCCCUUGUUCUCUAGGUGGGCGCCUGAUUGCCAAAACUUAAAAUGUAUUCCCUUAUUUUCCAGAUGGGGGCGAUUGCCAAAACUUGAACUGUAUUCCCUUGUUCUCUAGGUGGGCGCCUGAUUGCGAAAACUUGAACUGUAUUCCCUUGUUCUCUAGGUGGGCGCCUAAUUGCCAAAACUUGAAACUGUCUUCCCUUGUUCUCCAGGUUGCCGCCUCAUUGCCAAAACUUGAUACUUUAUUCCCUUGUUCUCCAGGUAGGCGCUUGAUUACCAAAACUUGAACUGUAUGCCCUGGUUCUCCAGGUGGGCGCCUAAUAGCGAAAACUUGAACUGCAUUCCUUUGUUCUCUAGGUGGGCGCCUGAUUGCCGAAACUUGAACUGUAUUCCCUUAUUCUCCAGGUGGGCGCCUGAUUGCCAAAACUUGAACUGUAUUCCCUUAUUUUCCAGAUGGGUGCCUGAAUUCCAAAACUGUAAAUAUAUUCCCUUGUUCUCCAGGUGGGCGCCUGAUUGCCAAAACUUGAACUGUAUGCCCUUGUUUUCCAGGUGGGCACCUGAUUGCCCAAAUUUGAAUUGUAUUCCCUUAUUCUCGGGUGGGUGCCU